GCCGGGCGUGGUGGCACACGCCUGUAAUCCCAGCUACUCAGGAGGCUGAGGCAGGAGAAUCGCUUGAACCUGGGAGGCAGAGGGUUGCAGUGAGCCAAGAUCGCACCACUAAACUCUAGCCUGGGUGACAAAGUGAGACUCAGUCUCAA
rnacentral:SRP_RNA from 1 species